rnacentral:rRNA from 1 species
CCUACGGGAGGCAGCAGUGGGGAAUUUUGGACAAUGGACGAAAGUCUGAUCCAGCAAUGCCGCGUGCAGGACGAAGGCCUUCGGGUUGUAAACUGCUUUUGUACGGAACGAAAAGGUCUGCCUUAAUACGGUGGGCUCAUGACGGUACCGUAAGAAUAAGCACCGGCUAACUACGUGCCAGCAGCCGCGGUAAUACGUAGGGUGCAAGCGUUAAUCGGAAUUACUGGGCGUAAAGCGUGCGCAGGCGGUUAUAUAAGACAGAUGUGAAAUCCCCGGGCUCAACCUGGGACCUGCAUUUGUGACUGUAUAGCUAGAGUACGGUAGAGGGGGAUGGAAUUCCGCGUGUAGCAGUGAAAUGCGUAGAUAUGCGGAGGAACACCGAUGGCGAAGGCAAUCCCCUGGACCUGUACUGACGCUCAUGCACGAAAGCGUGGGGAGCAAACAGGAUUAGAUACCCUGGUAGUCCACGCCCUAAACGAUGUCAACUGGUUGUUGGGUCUUCGCUGACUCAGUAACGAAGCUAACGCGUGAAGUUGACCGCCUGGGGAGUACGGCCGCAAGGUUGAAACUCAAAUGAAUUGACCGGNNGAGAGNGCGAGACGACACGAGGGAGGAGG